UACGUAGGGUGCAAGCGUUGUCCGGAAUUAUUGGGCGUAAAGAGCUCGUAGGCGGCUUGUCGCGUCGGCUGUGAAAACCCGCGGCUCAACUGUGGGCGGGCAGCUGAUACGGGCAGGCUGGAGUUCGGUAGGGGAGACUGGAAUUCCUGGUGUAGCGGUGAAAUGCGCAGAUAUCAGGAGGAACACCGGUGGCGAAGGCGGGUCUCUGGGCCGAUACUGACGCUGAGGAGCGAAAGCGUGGGGAGCGAACAGG
rnacentral:rRNA from 1 species